rnacentral:rRNA from 1 species
AGAUUGAACGCUGGCGGCAUGCCUUACACAUGCAAGUCGAACGGCAGCACGGGAGCAAUCCUGGUGGCGAGUGGCGAACGGGUGAGUAAUACAUCGGAACGUGCCCAAUCGUGGGGGAUAACGCAGCGAAAGCUGUGCUAAUACCGCAUAAGAUCUACGGAUGAAAGCAGGGGAUCGCAAGACCUUGCGCGAAUGGAGCGGCCGAUGGCAGAUUAGGUAGUUGGUGAGGUAAAGGCUCACCAAGCCUUCGAUCUGUAGCUGGUCUGAGAGGACGACCGAGCCACACUGGGACUGAGACACGGCCCAGACUCCGUACGGGAGGCAGCAGGUGGGGAACUUUGGACAAGUGGGACGAAAGGCCUAGACUCCGACG